rnacentral:tRNA from 1 species
CUACCCGGCGCCGGGUGGGCUGGCCGGGGUGAAGAACCGGCUGGUCGCCGGCGGCCGGCACCGCACGUUCCAGGCGCUCCGGAUGGGC